UAAAACACUUAAACAAACCUAAAAACUCAAAACAGCAACCUAAAUGAUUCAAAACUGCCUAAAAACCACUUUCUGGGCAGUUUUGAGAACCUAACAAGAACUUGGACGAAUUUGAGUGAAAACUUGAAUCAAAACACUUAGAAACACAAAUAAAAACACUUUCUAACUAAUCUAAGACUUCAAAAUAAAGGGGGAUUUGUUUUGGACGAAAAUUGAAAACAAAACAGAAACUUAAAACUAAACAGAUUGUAAAACGUGUUUGGAUGAAAAGGAUGGAUAAAAGGCUAGUUAGGAGGUUCUUCUCCACACAUGUCACACUUGCAAACAAAAUGAUUUUCAGUUGUUCUUUCCAUAAAUUAUGAAUACUCAACGCCCCAAAUUAACCGUGAAUUGCACUAAUUAACCCUCAGUUUUUCCACGAGUUAUUGAGUUGGAUGAUUGCAUACGACAACCCAAAGCAUUCCCUACAAGUUCCCUACAUGAAUUGCAUAAUAGAGAUACAAGCAAGAAUCAUUAAGUUCUAUGAAAAACAUAAGCAUUGACGAAGCAUUUGUUACUAUGAAUUGCAUGAAACUUAUGCCAAGAAUUCAUUCAACGCGAUCGUUUUCAAGCGACCUUCACUACUUGUGAUUAUAAGAUUGUAACUAUUAGGUGAAACUCCCUCAUAAUCUAGCAUCAUAUUCAUGCAUGAAAACUAAGCGUGCACUCUCAAUCAACAUACACAAAUAAGUUAUCAAUCAAGUAGAUGAACGAAUUGAAUCCACAACUUAUGAAAUAACAACUGAAUGUAAUCAAAUCAUAUUGCAAGCAUGUACAUGGUUUCGAAUCACCCCCUAACUAAGAGGGGUUUAGUUCCUCAUACUCGCAAAGCAAAGAUACAUAAAAUUUAGAAAUUAAAAACCCAAAGAAAGAAAAACACCUAGAAGGCUCCAACUUGGCAGCAAGAUCAUCAAUGAUUUCCCUUUCCUCCUUGCUGCAGCAGAGAAGUUUAGAACAGGUUUUGGGUGGUAUUUAGGGUGUAGAAUGGAUGGGGAAUGGUAGGGAAAGGUUUAGGGUUGAUGGGGAUACGGCUAGGGAUGAUUUUUGGGCAGAAUUUUGGGACUUGGUGAUGGGAAGGUGCGGCAGAAUGCAAGGGCAGAUUUCUGGCGUGAAUGAUUGUGUAUGAGAGGUGGUGAUCUGAUCUAGGGGUUAUAAUGAGUAUAUAUAGGCAUCCAAAACCCUAGGGUAAUCAGAUUAGGGUUUCUAGAAGCCCAAAUCCACCAGAAAUUAGGUUAAAACAAUCAGAUUUUUUAGUGGGAAUAAGGCCUAAGGUGCGGCUAGGGUUAGGGUUUAGAGAUGGGCCUAUGGUGCGGCAAUGUCCAAGAAUGUAAGGAUGGGUCAUCUAGAAGCCCAAAGCCAAGAAUAGAAACUCUCACAAAUGGAAACCUCCAAGAAUAGAAACUUCCAACUUUAGAAACUUUGGGUUCUAAUUCUGAAUUCUUUGUUCUUCACUUUCAUUUCUUCAUUUCUUAAGCUCCCUUUGACCUUCAACUCGUCCAUUCCUUGUGCUCCAUAAGUAAAAACGCCAUUUUAGCUCAAUUAUGCUCCAUUUUGCACUUCCUUGCAUACUUUGUCUCUAAAACCUGAAAACACAUAAAACUAGCUUAAAAGACUACGUUAACUAAGAAAACACCAUGGAAAUGCAUAAGAACUAGCUAACUAAGGCGCAUAAAUAUGCUCCUAUCAGAUUUAUGAUUUAAAUGUUGUAAAUGUUACAAGUUUUGUUCUUGCUUUUGAAUAUAUAAAUUUUGCUAGAAAAUUUAUCAUCUCAAAUGUUGUAGAUGUAUUUCAUUUAAGCAUGAAUAUUGGAACUAAAAUUUGGUGCCAUGUAUUUUGGGAAUUUCGGCCAAAUCCUUAGGGUGAUUUUUUGGGUUCAUGUUUGUCUUGUUAAAAUGGUUUUAAGGUGACUUUUGGAACCCCUAAGUACCCUAGGAUAUUAGCCCUCUUUUGAGUGGUGAAAAAUUGAGUUUUGGUGAGUGAAAACAUUCAUGGAGCUAUUAUGAGUUUUCAUGGUGUUCUUCAAUGUUCUUGAAGUUCUUGCCAAGAACAUAAAGUUUUGAAGUUUUGAUUCAAAAGUUUUAUGUUUUUCAUAAAGUUUUGGUUUAAUUUUGAUGGGUGAUAGUUAUUGGUGAAGCAUUAAUUUUGGCUUUAAUGUUUGACAAAACUAAUUAAUGUUUUACAGAACAUUUUCUUACAAACCAUCAAUUUCACCUUUACCUCACCCACCAAAAUCAAGUUGCAUAAAAUCCCUUUCACACUCAUUCACACUCCUAAAACCGGCCACCCCCUAGUGGGGGUACUUUUGGGGUCUUUUAUGCAAUUACAUAAAGUUUUGAAACUUUUGUGUAUUUGCACUUUGGCCCAAAAGUUUACGUUUUUACGUUAAGGCCCAAAAACUCU
rnacentral:lncRNA from 1 species